UACGAAGGGUGCAAGCGUUACUCGGAAUUACUGGGCGUAAAGCGUGCGUAGGUGGUUCGUUAAGUCUGAUGUGAAAGCCCUGGGCUCAACCUGGGAAUGGCAUUGGAUACUGGCGACCUAGAGUGCGGUAGAGGGGUGUGGAAUUCCCGGUGUAGCAGUGAAAUGCGUAGAUAUCGGGAGGAACACCUAUGGCGAAAGCAGGUUACUGGGCCAUCACUGACGCUGAGCUGCGAAAGCUAGGGGAGCAAACAGG
rnacentral:rRNA from 1 species